rnacentral:rRNA from 1 species
GACAGAGGUGCCAAGCGUUAGGCGGAAUCACUGGGCUUAAAGCGUGUGUAGGUGGAUUUGUAAGUACCUUGUGAAAUCCCACAGCUCAACUGUGGAACUGCUCGGUAUACUGCGAAUCUUGAGCCACUUAGGGGCAACCGGAACAAAUGGUGGAGCGGUGAAAUGCGUAGAUAUCAUUUGGAACGCCAAUGGUGAAAACAGGUAGCUGGGGCUGUGCUGACACUGAGACACGAAAGCCAGGGGAGCAAACGGG